rnacentral:rRNA from 1 species
CCUACGGGUGGCAGCAGUGGGGAAUAUUGCACAAUGGGGGAAACCCUGAUGCAGCGACGCCGCGUGAGUGAAGAAGCGUUUCGGCGCGUAAAGCUCUGUCAGCGGGGAAGAAACACGGUUCGCGAGAGCCGCGGACGGUACCCGACCAAGAAGCCCCGGCUAACUACGUGCCAGCAGCCGCGGUAAUACGUAGGGGGCAAGCGUUAUCCGGUUUCACGGGUGGUAAGGGGGUGUAGACGGCGAGACAAGUCUGGAGUGAAAGGCCGGGGCCCAACCCCGGGACUGCUCUGGAAACUGCCUGGCUGGAGUACAGGAGAGGUAAGUGGAAUUCCUAGUGUAGCGGUGAAAUGCGUAGAUAUUAGGAGGAACACCAGUGGCGAAGGCGGCUUACUGGACUGUAACUGACGUUGAGGCUCGAAAGCGUGGGGAGCAAACAGGAUUAGAUACCCCAGUAGUC